rnacentral:rRNA from 1 species
AUUGAACGCUGGCGGCAUGCCUUACACAUGCAAGUCGAACGGUAACAGGUCUUCGGAUGCUGACGAGUGGCGAACGGGUGAGUAAUACAUCGGAACGUGCCCGAUCGUGGGGGAUAACGAAGCGAAAGCUUUGCUAAUACCGCAUACGAUCUACGGAUGGAAGCAGGGGACCGCAAGGCCUUGCGCGAACGGAGCGGCCGAUGGCAGAUUAGGUAGUUGGUGGGAUAAAAGCUUACCAAGCCGACGAGCUGUAGCUGGUCUGAGAGGACGACCAGCCACACUGGGACUGAGACACGGCCCAGACUCCUACGGGAGGCAGCAGUGGGGAAUUUUGGACAAUGGGCGAAAGCCUGAUCCAGCCAUGCCGCGUGCAGGAUGAAGGCCUUCGGGUUGUAAACUGCUUUUGUACGGAACGAAAAGACUCUGGUUAAUACCUGGGGUCCAUGACGGUACCGUAAGAAUAAGCACCGGCUAACUACGUGCCAGCAGCCGCAGUAA